rnacentral:lncRNA from 10 species
GGAGCAUGUCUCAGGAUAUUCAUCAUGGCGCUGCUUCUGCUGGGUGGCCGAGGUGUCCUCACUAGAGGGACAGUCAAUGUGAGCUCUUAACAGCACCAGAUUUCUUGCAGCAAUCGGAAGCCAGAAACUCUGUCUGCAGAGAGCCAAUGAUUACGCCUCAAAAACAUACUGUUAAGUGCGAAACUCACGUAUGAGACCAGUUGCUAUUUGUUCUGUAAAAGAACACCCUGGGUAACGUUUGAAACGAUGGGAAAUGCCUCAAGGAAUAACAACUGCACAGAUACUGUCGCCCCUCCCUACCAGGCCCUGGCUGGGAGUAAAUGCCGGCUCCUGGGAGCACUCAGGUA